CAGACCAACAGGGAUUGCCUUAGUAACGGCGAGUGAAGCGGCAACAGCUCAAAUUUGAAAUCUGGCUCUUUCAGAGUCCGAGUUGUAAUUUGCAGAGGGCGCUUUGGCGUUGGCAGCGGUCCAAGUUCCUUGGAACAGGACGUCACAGAGGGUGAGAAUCCCGUACGUGGUCGCUAGUCAUCGCCGUGUAAAGCCCCUUCGACGAGUCGAGUUGUUUGGGAAUGCAGCUCUAAAUGGGAGGUAAAUUUCUUCUAAAGCUAAAUACUGGCCAGAGACCGAUAGCGCACAAGUAGAGUGAUCGAAAGAUGAAAAGCACUUUGGAAAGAGAGUCAAACAGCACGUGAAAUUGUUGAAAGGGAAGCGCUUGCAGCCAGACUUGCCUGUAGUUGCUCAUCCGGGCUUUUGCCCGGUGCACUCUUCUGCGGGCAGGCCAGCAUCAGUUUGGGCGGUUGGAUAAAGGUCUCUGUCAUGUACCUCUCUUCGGGGAGAACUUAUAGGGGAGACGACAUACAACCAGCCUGGACUGAGGUCCGCGCAUUUGCUAGGAUGCUGGCGUAAUGGCUGUAAGCGGCCCGUCUUGAAACACGGACCAAGGAGUCUAACAUCUAUGCGAGUGUUUGGGUGUCAAGCCCGAGCGCGUAAUGAAAGUGAACGGAGGUGGGACCCCGUAAGGGUGCACCAUCGACCGAUCCUGAUGUCUUCGGAUGGAUUUGAGUAAGAGCAUGGCUGUUGGGACCCGAAAGAUGGUGAACUAUGCUUGAAUAGGGUGAAGCCAGAGGAAACUCUGGUGGAGGCUCGCAGCGGUUCUGACGUGCAAAUCGAUCGUCAAAUUUGGGCAUAGGGGCGAAAGACUAAUCGAACUAUCUAGUAGCUGGUUCCUGCCGAGCUUUCU
rnacentral:rRNA from 1 species